AGGUUGUGACUUUAGGUUGUGGUGCUAGGUUGUGACUUUAGGUUGUGGUGCUAGGUUGUGACUUUAGGUUGUGGUGCUAGGUUGUGACUUUAGGUUGUGGUGCUAGGUUGUGACUUUAGGUUGUGGUGCUAGGUUGUGACUUUAGGCUGUGGUGCUAUGUUGUGGUGCUAGGUUGUGACUUUAGGUUGUGGUGCUUGGUUGUGACUUAAGGUUGAGGUGCUAUGUUGAGGUGAUAUGUUGAUGUGCUAUGUUUAGGCUUAAGUUGAGGUGCUAGCUUGUUGGUUUAGGUUGAGGUGCUUGAUUUUGGUGUUAGAUUGUGGUUUAUGGUUGUAGUGUUAGGUUAAUAUGUUCGUUGGAAUUGUUAGGCUGCAAAAUAUUUGGUAGAGGUGUU